AAAUGAAUAGACGGGAGCCCGCACAAGCAGUGGAGUAUGUGGAUUAAUUCGACGCAACGCGAAGAACCUUACCAGGACUUGACAUCCAAGGGAUUCGGGGUAAUGCCUGAAGUGCCUUCUUAUGAAGGAACCUUGAGACAGGUGGUGCAUGGUUGUCGUCAGCUCGUGUCGUGAGAUGUUGGGUUAAGUCCCGCAACGAGCGCAACCCUUACGGUUAGUUGCUACGCAAGAGCACUCUGGCCGGACUGCCGUUGACAAAACGGAGGAAGGUGGGGACGACGUCAAAUCAUCAUGCCCCUUACGUUCUGGGCUUCACACGUACUACAAUGGCGCAAACAAAGGGAAGCGAAGCCGCGAGGCGGAGCAAAUCUCAAAAAAGGCGUCCCAGUUCGGACUGCAGGCUGCAACUCGCCUGCACGAAGUCGGAAUUGCUAGUAAUCGCGGAUCAGCAUGCCGCGGUGAAUACGUUCCCGGGCUUUGUACACACCGCCCGU
rnacentral:rRNA from 1 species